AAACCAGCACCUCAAGUGGUCAGGAGGAUUAUUGGGCCUAAAGCAUCCGUAGCCUGUUCUGUAAGUUUUCGGUUAAAUCCAUUAGCUCAACUAAUGGGCUGCCGAAAAUACUGUAGAACUAGGGAGUGGGAGAGGUAGACGGUAUUCGGUAGGAAGGGGUAAAAUCCUUUGAUCUAUUGAGGACCACCUGUGGCGAAGGCGGUCUACCAGAACACGUUCGACGGUGAGGGAUGAAAGCUGGGGGAGCAAACCGGAUUAGAAACCCUUGUAGUCC
rnacentral:rRNA from 1 species